AUCACGGUAGUUUGAUCCGUGGCUCGAGGACGAACGCUGGCGGCGUGCUUAACACAUGCAAGUCGAGCGAUGAAGCACCUUCGGGUGUGAAUUAGCGGCGAACGGGUGAGGAACACGUGAAGAAUCUGCCUUCAACUCUGGGAUAACUCCGGGAAACCGGGGCUAAUACCGGAUAUGAGCCUUGAUCGCAUGAUCGGGGCUGGAAAGUUUUUCGGUUGAAGAUGACUUCGCGGCCUAUCAGCUUGUUGGUGAGGUAAUGGCUCACCAAGGCGACGACGGGUAGCCGGCCUGAGAGGGCGACCGGCCACACUGGGACUGAGACACGGCCCAGACUCCUACGGGAGGCAGCAGUGGGGAAUAUUGGGCAAUGGAGGAAACUCUGACCCAGCGACGCCGCGUGAGGGAUGAAGGCCUUCGGGUUGUAAACCUCUUUCAGUAGGGAAGAAGCGAAAGUGACGGUACCUACAGAAGAAGCACCGGCUAACUAUGUG
rnacentral:rRNA from 1 species